GGCGAUGUAGCACAGCGGUUAAUGCACCGAGUUCAUACCCCGGGUAUCGCUGGUUCGAUUCCAGCCAUCGCCACCA
rnacentral:tRNA from 1 species